rnacentral:lncRNA from 1 species
AGUCCAAGUGAGAUUCAGUGAUCAUCCUUCUCUUCAUACACUCUUCAUCACUCUCCUCGCAUUUCUCUUCUCCCAUAAGCCUAAAUUACAUUUCAGGGGAAAAUAUAAAUCAAUUUUUUCUUAAAUAAACACAAUGAAUAUGCAGUAAGAUAAUUGCAUGAAUAGGAAUAGAGUAUGUACAUGUGAUAACUCUUGGGCCAUGUCAGAUGCCUUAUCUGCUUGUGUAGUCCAGGCCCAAUUAUUGUUAUUGGCUCCUUUUUCUUCUACUACGAUGGGAAAAUUGGCAAGACAAAAACAUGAAAU